CUAGAUUCAUUGUAGUUAAAUAGAUAGUAAUAGAUUCAUUGUAGGUCAUGGACUCUUGGUGGACUAAAUCGAGUCCCUCGUUUCAGCGGUCUCGUGGACCUGGUGGGCUGUUUGCCUCGAAAGAUGCUGGACCGUAAGUUAAGGGCAAGUUGAACUUUACCAGCGAUUUCAAACUGACACAUGUUGGCAAUGAAAAUGGCCCAUCUCCGAACACCAAAUCCUUUCGACAUUUGGCAGUAGAAAAAGAGAGCAAAUAUGCACAAGAACAAAAAAUGGAGAGAACAAGAUGAUUUCAGAACAACAAUGAAGAACAUCCUGGAUGAUUUCAGAACAACAAUGAAGAACAUCCUGGAUGGUUUUGCAAGGCCGAAGCAAACAAGUUGGCGUUAAAUUUAUAGGAAUCACAUCAACAAAUCUUGCCAUGAUCCACAGCCACGCCUAUAGUACGAAGAUUUGUACAGCUAAUUAAAAAAAAAGCAUAAUCACGAAAAAAAUAUCAUCUAUGGAGAAAAAUGAAAUCAAAAAUUUGAGUGGCAAAAAACUCUCGCAGCAGCAGAUCAGCAUCACGGGACAUCUUCGAGUUUCCCUUCGGACCAAAAGAACAGCCACGACGACACCGCUUCCUCGUCGACCGGGGAAAGGAAUCCUGAUCUGAGCACCAGCGUAUUUUAAGCUUACGUCACCUCCAGCGGUGCGAUCCAUUUGGGCCGGCGCGGUCUGUUUGCGGGAAGACGCAUUUGGACGGGCAUCCGCUUUUCGGUCCGCGAAGACGCAUUCCGGACACAAAUCUGCGCCGGAUUUGCGUCCCCAUGGACCGAGAAAUGGAGCACCUCGGUCAAAGCUUUUCGUCUCCCCGUCCCCACAUGACGGUGACCCAUCGGUCCAUUCCCCACCCCACCCACCCACUUCGCACCGGAGUCAAAACCCUAGCUCCCCGGCGAGCACUGACCACCGCAAAUGGCGCCC
rnacentral:lncRNA from 1 species